rnacentral:rRNA from 1 species
AUACGUAGGGGGCGAGCGUUGUCCGGAAUGAUUGGGCGUAAAGGGCGCGUAGGCGGCCCGGUAAGUCUGGAGUGAAAGUCCUGUUUUUAAGAUGGGAAUUGCUUUGGAUACUGUCGGGCUUGAGUGCAGGAGAGGUAAGUGGAAUUCCCAGUGUAGUGGUGAAAUGCGUAGAGAUUGGGAGGAACACCAGUGGCGAAGUCGACUUACUGGACUGUAACUGACGCUGAGGCGCGAAAGUGUGGGGAGCAAACAGGAUUAGAUACCCUGGUAGUCCACACUGUAAACGAUGAAUGCUAGGUGUAGGGGGUAUCGACCCCUUCUGUGCCGCAGUCAACACAAUAAGCAUUCCGCCUGGGGAGUACGGCCGCAAGGUUGAAACUCAAAGGAAUUGACGGGG